UACGUAGGGCGCGAGCGUGUCCGGAAUUAUUGGGCGUAAAGAGCUCGUAGGCGGCCGGUUGCGUCUGCUGUGGAAAUCCCGGGGCUUAACCCCGGGCGUGCAGUGGAUACGGGCCGGCUGGAGGCAGGCAGGGGAGAAUGGAAUUCCCGGUGUAGCGGUGAAAUGCGCAGAUAUCGGGAGGAACACCGGUGGCGAAGGCGGUUCUCUGGGCCUGUACUGACGCUGAUGAGCGAAAGCCAGGGGAGCAAACGGG
rnacentral:rRNA from 1 species